GCACAGCGCAUACAUACCUUAGCCAGGAGGGCUUCGGUUUCCUUAACAACAAAGCGAAGCAAAGGACCAGAAAAGGUGUGAAUGGAAUUUGAAACGUAAGACUGGCUGUAGGUAGGAGAAUUGAUGGGGAAGUGAGCUCGCUCUAUGAGACUGAAAAUGAUGCUGUCUUCUUGUCUUAUCAAUGAAUGUCUCACCGAUUCAAGCGUCAGACUAUUCGUCGCCAUGCUAUUUCUAACAUUAUGGGAUGCCACAAAAUAAAAA